UAGAUGCAGUGCAGUGGAAUGCUUGGGAAGAUGUUGAAGGCUUCACUCUCAUAUCUACACUGUGUGAUGCCAACCUGCGCUGAGUGACUGAAUUUCCCAAAUUCAGAAACAUCAAGGAUGAAAAUCUUGGAUGCUUCUUGUCAGGUGAGAUACUGGGGCUAUGCAAAAAACAUGUAGAUGUGAUGCUUCUUGUCAGGUGAGAUUGGAUUGCUCUAGGUAAGGCCAAGGAGACUCAUGGUUCCUGGAACAGUGAGGGAAGGAAGGUAUAAGAAAAGUUAUUGUCAGGCCAGCUGGGCAGCUGCACAUCGUUGAUUCCAUG
rnacentral:lncRNA from 12 species